UGCGUAGGUGGUCUUUUAAGUCCGUUGUGAAAGCCCUGGGCUCAACCUGGGAAUGGCAGUGGAUACUGGAAGGCUAGAGUGCGGUAGAGGGUAGUGGAAUUCCCGGUGUAGCAGUGAAAUGCGUAGAGAUCGGGAGGAACACCAGUGGCGAAGGCGGCUACCUGGACCAGCACUGACACUGAGGCACGAAAGCGUGGGGAGCAAACA
rnacentral:rRNA from 1 species